rnacentral:rRNA from 1 species
GACGAACGCUGGCGGCGUGCCUAAUACAUGCAAGUAGAACGCUGAAGGAGGAGCUUGCUUCUCCGGAUGAGUUGCGAACGGGUGAGUAACGCGUAGGUAACCUGCCUGGUAGCGGGGGAUAACUAUUGGAAACGAUAGCUAAUACCGCAUAACAGUAGAUGUUGCAUGACAUUUGCUUAAAAGGUGCAAUUGCAUCACUACCAGAUGGACCUGCGUUGUAUUAGCUAGUUGGUGAGGUAACGGCUCACCAAGGCGACGAUACAUAGCCGACCUGAGAGGGUGAUCGGCCACCCUGGGACUGAGACACGGCCCAGACUCCUACGGGAGGCAGCAGUAGGGAAUCUUCGGCAAUGGACGGAAGUCUGACCGAGCAACGCCGCGUGAGUGAAGAAGGUUUUCGGAUCGUAAAGCUCUGUUGUAAGAGAAGAACGAGUGCGAGAGUGGAAAGUUCACACUGUGACGGUAUCUUACCAGAAAGGGACGGCUAACUACGUG